CAUUGGUUUGCACCAGCGGCCCAGACAAAGGGAGCGGCCGCUGCGGGAGGCGAUUGGGCGGAGCUAGGCGGGAGCCCGGAGACGGGCGGGGACGCUGCCCUCGCGGAGGCGGGGAGGGGUCCUCCACGUGGGUGGGGCUCGGCGCCCCCCGAGGGCCGUGGCCGCGGGGCGCUGGUACCCCUCCCGCCCCCGGGCUUCUGCCUGGACCGCGGCCGCUGCCUCCUCUUCCCGGAGGUCUCAGAGUCCGUCCCGGUCUCGCAGUAGGGAACCCGGAUACGCAGGAGCGAGCCUGGAUGCAGAAGGGCGCGCGGGAGCCUGGAGCUGCAGCGCGAACGAACCGCAGCCGCAGCUGAGUCAGAAGUGUCCCGCUGCCUUACCUGAUAAUGGGAUUUUACACGGUCUGCAAAGGGUGGCUUCGUGAGAAGACCGUUUCAGAAGAGGAAAUGGGCCUCUGGCCGACGGUGGGGUUUUAGAAACCCCUGUGGAGUGAAAAAGUACUCCCGGCCGCUUUGCGCAAGAUUGCAGAGUAAGGGACAGUUUCUCAGGGACACAUCUGGACAGUGUAGCCUACAAGACACAGGAGUGGACACCAAAAAACCUGGAUAGUGCUGACCCGGGCGGUCCAAGACCUGGACUGGGCCGGGCGGUGGUGGCUGGCACACAACUUUAAUCCCAGGACUCAAGAGGCAGAGGCAGGCAGAUGUCUGUGAGUUCGAGGCCAGCCUGGUCUACAGAGCAAGUUCCAGGACAGCCAGACUGUUACACGGAGAAACCCUGUCUCUGGAAAAACAAAAACAAAGAAGACCUGGACUGGACUGUACGCCGGCAUAGGGGAGGAGAGAAUCACACAUACACAGCGUGCUAGAGGACGGAUGAGUGCAGUGACGGUGGAGGCUUCUGAGGCCUCAAGAUGACCUCCUCACCUGUUGACAGGCUACUCUGCUUGCUGCCAGCCAAGCUGACCUCCAGGCCCGGCCCGGAACUCUUCCAGGCCUCUCAGGAGGUUGCCGCUACUCGGGAGACUGAAGCAGAAGGGUCGAAGGUUCAAGGCCUGCCAGCUACAGAGAGUCCAAGCUCAGCCUGGGUACCAUAAUGAGACACUGAGCACUCAAGACGGAAGGUAAACAGAAGUAGGACAGAGCUCAGUAGUAAAGCACUUACCACACCCAAGAGGCCCUCGGUUUGAUCCGUACGACCAGAAGGAGAAG
rnacentral:lncRNA from 1 species